rnacentral:rRNA from 1 species
UACGUAGGGGGCGAGCGUUGUCCGGAUUUAUUGGGCGUAAAGAGCGUGUAGGCGGCCAGGUAGGUCUGCUGUGAAAACUCGAGGCUCAACCUCGAGACGUCGGCGGAAACCAUCUGGCUAGAGUCCGGAAGAGGAGAGUGGAAUUCCUGGUGUAGCGGUGAAAUGCGCAGAUAUCAGGAAGAACACCCGUGGCGAAGGCGGCUCUCUGGGACGGUACUGACGCUGAGGCGCGAAAGCUAGGGGAGCAAACAGG